rnacentral:rRNA from 1 species
AACGAACGCUGGCGGCAUGCCUAACACAUGCAAGUCGAACGAGACCUUCGGGUCUAGUGGCGCACGGGUGCGUAACGCGUGGGAACCUGCCCUUAGGUUCGGAAUAACUCCCCGAAAGGGGUGCUAAUACCGGAUAAUGUCUUCGGACCAAAGCUUUAUCGCCUUUGGAUGGGCCCGCGUUGGAUUAGCUAGUUGGUAGGGUAAAAGCCUACCAAGGCGACGAUCCAUAGCUGGUCUGAGAGGAUGAUCAGCCACACUGGGACUGGGACACGGCCCAGACUCCUACGGGAGGCAGCAGUGGGGAAUAUUGGACAAUGGGCGAAAGCCUGAUCCAGCAAUGCCGCGUGAGUGAUGAAGGCCUUAGGGUUGUAAAGCUCUUUUACCCGGGGUGAUAAUGACAGUACCGGGAGAAUAAGCUCCGGCUAACUCCGUG